rnacentral:lncRNA from 1 species
AUGGCCCCCCCCACCUUCCUGCAUUCUAGCUCAUUGCCUGCCUCUGGGGUCACCUGGCUGAUCCCUAAGGGAGAGAUCCUCGGCCUCUACCCCGCCCCCAACCCCAGCAGGGCCCAAGGCUGGAGCAGGCGUGGAAACAAGCAUCGGGGCCUCUGCCCACUGCAUGGGGCGCCCAGGGGUCUGCACCAGCCGGACCGUGCAUGGGGCGCCCAGGGGUCCGAGAGCGGGAUCGUGCAUGGGGCGCCCAGGGGUCCGAGAGCGGGACCGUGCAUGGGGCGCCCAGGGGUCUGCACCAGCGGGACCGUGCAUGGGGCGCCCAGGGGUCUGCACCAGCGGGACCCUGCAUGGGGCGCCCAGGGGUCCGAGAGCCGGACCGUGCAUGGGGCGCCCAGGGGUCCGCGUCAGCCGGCGUCCCCGGUGCUGGUUCCGAGCGGGCUGUGCAGCCGCCGGGCCGCCGCCAGGGCCGGGGUGGGGCGGACCCGGGCCCGGAGCUCCGCAGGAUCCGUGCAGCUGCGCGAGCUGAGGCCGAGGCGAGCGGGGGCGCGGGGCGGGGGGCGCGGGGCGGGGGGCGCGGCGCCGGGGCGGCGUCGGGGUCGGGUCCCCCUCCCGGGGCGGGUCAGGGCGCGUCCCGGUCGCCCCGGCAACCGCCACCGGAAGCGGGUGCGCCCCCUGCUGACGCCGCGCGCCCGCCGGGGCCCGGGCAGCCCGCCGUGCGUCACGCCUGCGUCAUGCGCCGCAGGCCGCGGGGUCACGUGGGCACGCGCGCUGACGUCACCGCGGCGGGCUGAGCCGGGGCGGCGGGCGGGGGAGGCGCGAGGUCGCCGCGCAGCACCUGCCGCCCGCGGGCCUCCGGGCUCCCGGUGGGAUGCGUGGGACGCCGCCCUGCGGGGACCUGAGCCCGAGGCCUGGAUGCGCGGGGGGCGCGAAGGCCGCCAGAGCCGGUGGAGCGCCGGGCCUUCCCGCUGCUGGCUGGGAGCUCGUCAGGGCCUGGCCCUCGGCCCAGCAGCCGCGCCCCCCCCCCCCCCCCCCCCCCCCCCCCCCCCGGGACAGCUCGUGGCCUUGGGUCGCAAGGCCGCGGUGUCAAGUGGGGCCCUGAGGGCCCUGAAGAGUGUUCAAGUGGCUUUUGACGCCUGCCGACAUCUUGGGCUUGUGGCUCUGACUCUGCUCGAUGCAUAG